rnacentral:rRNA from 1 species
AACGAAUGCUGGCGGCAUGCCUAAUACAUGCAAGUCGAACGAGAUCUUCGGGUCUAGUGGCGCACGGGUGCGUAACGCGUGGGAAUCUGCCCUUUGGUUCGGAAUAACAGUUGGAAACGACUGCUAAUACCGGAUGAUGACGAAAGUCCAAAGAUUUAUCGCCAGAGGAUGAGCCCGCGUAGGAUUAGCUAGUUGGUGUGGUAAAGGCGCACCAAGGCGACGAUCAUUAGCUGGUCUGAGAGGAUGAUCAGCCACACUGGGACUGAGACACGGCCCAGACUCCUACGGGAGGCAGCAGUGGGGAAUAUUGGACAAUGGGCGAAAGCCUGAUCCAGCAAUGCCGCGUGAGUGACGAAGGCCUUAGGGUUGUAAAGCUCUUUUCCCCGGGAUGAUAAUGACAGUACCGGGAGAAUAAGCUCCGGCUAACUCCGUGCCAGCCGCCGCGGUAA